GAAUAUUUGAGAAUAUAAUUCUAAAUUGUUCAAGCUAUUUAGGAAUAGUUGCCGUUUUAAAUUGUAUUUUACUCCUGUACAUAUUCUUAGUUCAUUCAAAUAGUAAGUUGAGUAUUUUCGGCUCGGUAUUUUAGUAUAAUGUUCGAUUGAUUUAAUGCGCAAAGGCGUGGGUGAAUAUUCUUUUUUAAGAUUUCAUGCAUCGCAGCAGUAUCACCAACUACAGAGACUAAAACUGCUCUCAAAGUGAAAGUAGAACCAUUUGUCCGCGAGACGGCACAGUGAGAACCAAAUAUAUUCUAUUAAAAGAAGAGUUGAUGAUCGGAUCAAAGUUUUGAACUUUGAUACUAAAAUUGGUUAACUUUUUUUUUCCUCUACGAGAUCCGAGUGGAUUUAGGUAUUCAACCUGUAAUACAAAAUAUUUCAAAAAAUAAAUACCUAAAUUGAAGGCAAUGUUGUUUUUAAAAAAAAAUACAUCUAGUCCGGUACUGCUUUAGAAAAUUUUAAUAGAGCUUUUUAAAUAAAAUUGAACAUUUAUAUUUAUAAAUACCUCGUCCACGUGUAACAAAAGUCGUAAAGCCGUUGGAUAUAUCUGCAAAAAGCUAUGCUGACGGAAUAAUAACCCGUCUUUGAAUCCGUAUUUUGUUGAUGUACCAGAAGGUGAUUCGGCUGAGAUUGCUUCGCGUGCUAGACGAUUCCUCAUUAGUAACUUGAGAAUAUCAACGAUCGAAAUAUAAUGAGCAUGAUCGUUCACUGUUUUCACACUUGUAUGACGAUUGGAUGAUCGCCCAACUAAAUUCCGUCUGAAAUUGCGGGCUACGACAACUUUUCUCUGUCCAAGUGUGAUUUCUGUUACCGUUGGGAUUGAUCCUUCAGCCUUAGAUGACAAAUAUAUUAAACUGUCAUUCGGCGUUUUUACUUCGGUGAACAAGUCAUCACACUUCAAAUUGGUCAUGAGUUCUAUAACAUCCGAAUCUGUGUCAGAAAUACCUUUAACUUCAGCGAAUCUUUUUAUUUGACCACUUGCAUAGUUAUAGUAUGAAUUCAGGAGUUCCGAAGAUAUUUCAAUCACUUUAGCGAUUUUAGACUCCGGAAUUGACACGUCGCAGCGCAAUGUGGUUAUGAUAUUUGAAAUUAAAUUUUUUAAACCAUUAAUUGUAACCGUUCUGUCUUCAAAAGGGUUUACGCGAUCACUUUCAAAAAUUGGAUGAACCUCCUCUACCUCUACUUCUGCUUCGUUGUUAAGAUCUAUUGAAUCGUUGAUCGAACCAUGGAUAGACACUAUGUGGCCAAAAUAGUUUUUAAAAUAAACGAAAGUCAUCUUGCAUUCCAUGCAAGCUACCGGAAUUGCAUUUCUUUCCCUUAAUUUAAUUUUAUGGAUGCUUUUGGAGUGCCUUUUAAAUUCAGCCAUUCCUCCGGGAAUUAUGUUUCGGCAUAUCCCACAUUUAUAUCCUAUGUAUUAUAAACAGUUAAUUCCUAAGAAUGAUGAAAAUAAACAAACUUACCGUUAAGUUCUCUGUUUUCCAUCUAAAGAUUGCUUUAACCUGCGGAUUUACCUUUAAAAAGUAUUCAAUCACUUAGAAACAACAAAUAACAAUCAUAGCUUUGAAUCGAACUGAUCAGAAUCUACUCAGUUUUCGCCUC